rnacentral:lncRNA from 1 species
AACUCAGAUUUUUUUUGGAAAUGUAUAUACUUUAAAUGAGAGAUUUUAGUUAGCCUGAGAGUUGCCUUUGAGAUGAUGUGAUUUUGCUAAUGGUAUGCCAGUUCUGUAUGCAAUAGAAAAUGCUGAAUUGGAAGAGGGUACGUCAAUACAUUUGUUGAAUAUCUAAAUAGAGUUUAAUUAAGUGGUGAUGAGCGCUAAAUAAAACCAUUUCAUUCAUUUAACAUAGCAUUUCAAUAUACAUGGAAAUGCCUGUUAACUUCAUUGGUUGAAUUCUGAAGCAUCAGUAUUUGUCUGUAAUUGUUAAGAACUUUGUACAACUAGAAAUUUGGCUACUGAAUUAUGCUAAUUCAGUGCUUAUUGAAUUAGAACAUGUGAUGCCCUUCCUAAUUAUAUUCCUUUUUGGAUCUUUUAUUUGUUCAACUGUGCAUAAAAAUAGUUCACUCUUUACCUAUAUGUACGUUUACAAGUAAUAUUUAUAUCAACUCCUUAUUUUAAUAGAAAUGUGUGAAUGAGAAAAACAAAGAUGGUAAUCAGCAGAAGGAUCUCCAGAAUUUGGUGGAGCCGAAGGCAGUAGCAAACUGUGUAAAUAAAGCAUUAAUUAAAUCAAAGAACGCUACGGAACAAAAGGAAACUGAAAUGUCUUCACCUGAGAGUCCUGCAUCUCUAGAGACAAUGAGAUGUGCUGAGAGAAUAUCAGAGGGAUGUGUUACUCAAGACCGUACUUCUAGUGAGGGGUCACCUGGUCUUCUGAAGUCAACACCAGAAAAAAAGGAAACAUUAAACACUGAGAAAGGAAUCUCUCCCAAUAAUCUCUGUCUACAAAAGAAGAAUAAUCAAAUUAUCUAUCUAAACCAGUCUCCUGAAAUGACUGUUAAAAAGUUAACAUUUGGAAAUAAAAGUUUCUCACCAGUUCUAACUGCUUCGUAUUUGGUAAGAAUAUUAAAAUUACUCUACAGAUGUUUUAACUGCAGUUAUUCCAUUCAGCUGCUACAUGCCUUAAUGCUUUUGUCUAUCUCAUUUCAAUAAUUUUUUCUUAUUUGUUAAUGUGUAGCUCAACUUAACUUCAGUAACCCCAUAUAAAGCACACUGUGGAAAAAACACAGAGGGAUCUGUAUCUGAAACAUGUGAUGCUACUGAGAAUUUAAGUUUUAGCCAUGGCUUUUCAGACAAAAUUUCUGUUGAAGGAAAACAACAAGUCAUCACUAAACAUGUCAUAAAAAAUAAAGGAGAGGUAUGUUACUAAAUCCA